GGUAAAACAAGUGUGUUUAAUGGAAGCCACAGCUGGCCAUUUAUGCAAGUCCCCAAGCAAGGUAUAUGUCCACAUGGACCUUGUGGGAUACAGGGAUACAAAACUUACAAACCAAUAAGAACAGUAAUUACAUGUACGACACUCCCACACACAGCACACAAGCCCUCUCCUCUGCAUGGGAGAUAAUUGAGUAAAGUACAUUAUGUAACUCAAUUAUCUCCAGGUAGAAAAACCACAAAGUACC